rnacentral:rRNA from 1 species
AACGCGAAGAACCUUACCUGGGCUCGAAAUGUAGUGGAAUCGGGUGGAAACAUCCGCGUCUCGCAAGAGACUGCUAUAUAGGUGCUGCAUGGCUGUCGUCAGCUCGUGCCGUGAGGUGUUGGGUUAAGUCCCGCAACGAGCGCAACCCUCGUCGUGUGUUGGUCCACAAGAUCUCUCACACGAGACCGCCGGUGAGAAGCCGGAGGAAGGUGGGGAUGACGUCAAGUCAGCAUGGCCCUUACGUCCCGGGCUACACACGUGCUACAAUGCGCCGAACAACGAGCUGCGAACCCGCGAGGGUAAGCCAAUCUCUUAAAUCGGCGCUCAGUUCGGAUUGAAGGCUGCAACUCGCCUUCAUGAAGUCGGAAUCGCUAGUAAACGCAGAUCAGCUACGCUGCGUUGAAUACGUUCCCGGGCCUUGUACACACCGACUGUAC